rnacentral:rRNA from 1 species
GACGAACGCNGGCGGCGUGCCUAAUACAUGCAAGUCGAACGAAACUUUCUUACACCGAAUGCUUGCAUUCACCGUAAGAAGUUGAGUGGCGGACGGGUGAGUAACACGUGGGUAACCUGCCUAAAAGAAGGGGAUAACACUUGGAAACAGGUGCUAAUACCGUAUAUCUCUAAGUAUCGCAUGAUCCUUAGAUGAAAGAUGGUUCUGCUAUCGCUUUUAGAUGGACCCGCGGCGUAUUAACUAGUUGGUGGGGUAACGGCCUACCAAGGUGAUGAUACGUAGCCGAACUGAGAGGUUGAUCGGCCACAUUGGGACUGAGACACGGCCCAAACUCCUACGGGAGGCAGCAGUAGGGAAUCUUCCACAAUGGACGCAAGUCUGAUGGAGCAACGCCGCGUGAGUGAAGAAGGUCUUCCGAUCGUAAAACUCUGUUGUUAGAGAAGAACACGAGUGAGAGUAACUGUUCAUUCGANGACG